GAUGAACGCUGGCGGCGUGCUUAACACAUGCAAGUCGAACGUGAGAGGGUAGCAAUAUCCUUGAAAGUGGCGCACGGGUGAGUAAUACGUAGGUAACCUGCCCUGGAGUGGGGGAUAACGGCUGGAAACGGCUGCUAAUACCGCAUAAUACUGGAGAGAUGGGAGUCUUUCUGGUAAAAACUCUGGUGCUUCAGGAGGGGCCUGCGGCCGAUUAGCUAGUUGGGGGGGUAAAGGCCCACCAAGGCAUUGAUCGGUAGCUGGUCUGAGAGGACGAUCAGCCACACGGGAACUGAGACACGGUCCCGACUCCUACGGGGGGCAGCAGUGAGGAAUAUUGGGCAAUGGGCGGAAGCCUGACCCAGCAACGCCGCGUGGAGGAAGACGGCCUUCGGGUUGUAAACUCCUUUUACGGGGGAAGAGGAAGGACGGUACCCCGAGAAUAAGUCACGGCUAACUACGUG
rnacentral:rRNA from 1 species